CAUUUUGUUAUGUGUGAGACAGCUGGCUUCACCACAUCUUUCUUCGAGAUAGUUCCACUCUGAUUUUCUUCGUUCCAUUCUUACCCAUUCCUUCUCCCAUGUCUGAUGUCUCCUCCAAGCUCUCUCCUCUAGGCAGGCUAAAAGCACAAAUUUUUCUGAAGUUUGGUUCUCUACUAUUGUCGAUGAUGAAUCGAUUGUGGCUGUGCAUUAACUGAAGCUCGUUUGUUUACUCUCCAAAAAGGGUGGGCAUGCUCGACUGAAAGGAGAGGAAAGCUUCUUCACUUUCGGCAUGUAGCAAUAGACAAGUGAGAAUUUCAAUCAGAAGAGCAAAGUAUUGUGUCGAAUGUAGUCAACAAAUGGGGUUGGCACUUAAGCCUUUGGCUCAACAACUGGGAAGAUACGGGUGAACAAGGAGAAAAAUAUUAUCCUUUACUGCAGAGGAGAUUUAUGAUAUAACUUUAAUCUAGCACCAACCUCAACUGACAUUGGCGAAGGCAGCAAAAGAAAGAACCCUUUAGUUGUGACGAUGAAGAAAAUCUUUUGUUGCUCGAAUGAAAAAGUAGAAUUACCGACUGGACAAGGUAAAGCAAAUCUCUGUUGCAGCUCACUUUUGGCUUUUUGGCUUGUACAUACUGCUGAGCUAUAACUUAAGGACAUUUAAACAGAAGAAACUCACUUUUGUGUGGAGAAUGCAGCUGAGAAAGACUCAACUUUAGUCAUUUAUAUGGACAUGUCAACUCUUACCUUUCGUGCCUCAGAGUUGAUCCAUCAUGAGUUGCCGCAUAAUACGUCAGCUAUUGUCAUCCAGUGAAUAGACCAAACAUCAAGCCAAACGUCAAAAAUACACAAACUGAGGAAUCAGAGAACCCAAGAGAUGAUGCUUCAAGGAAAUUGCGUGAAAGAGACUGGAAAACAUCUGUUGAAAACAAUUGCACAUGUCUAUUUUGACUGAAACUUCAUUCGUUGACUAUGAUUUAUAAUGUAACUUCUUGUGAUUCUUGAGAACAAAUACGAGGGAGCCAACAUUUUUUAGUAGUACAAAGUCAUGGCAAUACAGUAGAUGGCAGUCAAUCAGGAUAUGUAAGUCUGUUUAUGGCGUAAAGUGUAAACAAGGGUGGAAUACAUGUGUUUCUUUGAUACGUGACUCUUCGGCCCGUGCUCUCAUCUAGUAUAUAAUAAGUGAAGGUUAUGAGAUA